rnacentral:RNase_P_RNA from 1 species
ACAGCAAGCCGUCUUAUCGCCGCUCCGCCUGGAGGGGAGGAAAGUCCGGGCAACGCAGAGCAUCCUACUUCCUAACGGGAAGGGGCCUUUCGGGAGACGGAAAGGCUACAGCCAGUGCCACAGAAAAUAACCGCCCUUAACAGUUUACAGGGAACAAUAAACAGGGAUCAGGUUUCUGACAACUGUUUACUGCUAACUGAAACUGAAAAAGGGUAAGGGUGAAAAGGUGCGGUAAGAGCGCACCAGCGGCUGGGUGACCAGUCCGGCUGGGUAAACCUUAGGAGUUGAAAGACCAAAUAGGCUGGCAGCGCUCCGCUUCGGCGGGGCUAAGGGCUGCUCGUCCGAUGUCAGUGGGUAGGUCGAUGGAGCCUGUGCGUGAGUGCAGGCCUAGAUAAAUGAUAAGACGUAGGGCUUCGGCCCGACGACAGAACCCGGCUUACAGGCUUGCUGUUAAC